CUUUCCUUUCCUUUUUCUUUCUUUCUUCCUUCCUUCCUUCCUUCCUUUCUUUCCUUCUUUCUUUCUCUCUUUCCUUUCUUUCUCUCUCUUUUUUUUUUUUCAGAGUCUGGCUCUGUUGCCCAGGCUGAAAUGAGGUGGCACGAUCUCAGCUCACUGUAACCUCUGCCUCCAGGGUUCAAGCGAUUCUCAUCGCUUGAUGAGAAUCAGUGAUGAGACUUGAUGCCUCAGUCUCCCAAGCAGCUGGGAUUACAGGCCCAUGCUACCAUGCCUGGCUAAUUUUUGUAUUUUUAGUAGAGAUGGGGUUUCACCAUGUUGGCCAGGUUGGUCUUGAACUCUUGACCUCAAAUGAUCUGCCUGCCUCAGCCUCCCAAAGUGCUAGGAUUACAGGUGUGAGCCACCGCACCCAGCCUCAAUUCUACUUUUAAAGCUCCCAAACCUGGAUCCUUC
rnacentral:lncRNA from 1 species